rnacentral:rRNA from 1 species
UACGGAGGGUGCAAGCGUUAUCCGGAUUCACUGGGUUUAAAGGGUGCGUAGGCGGGCAGGUAAGUCCGUGGUGAAAUCUCUGAGCUUAACUCAGAAACUGCCAUGGAUACUAUUUGUCUUGAAUAUUGUGGAGGUGAGCGGAAUAUGUCAUGUAGCGGUGAAAUGCUUAGAUAUGACAUAGAACACCAAUUGCGAAGGCAGCUCACUACACAAAUAUUGACGCUGAGGCACGAAAGCGUGGGGAUCAAACAGG